AUUGAACGCUGGCGGCAGGCCUAACACAUGCAAGUCGAACGCGCGUCGCACAGGUGAGUAUUGUAUGGGGAACUGCCCGAUAGAGGGGGAUAAAUACUGGAAACGUUAGCUAAUACCGCAUGCUAUCUGAUUAACCCAUAUGUGAUUAGCUAGUAGUUGAGGUAAUGGCUCACCUAGACGACGAUCCCUAGCGGGUCUGAGAGGAUGAUCAGCCACACCGGGACUGAGACACGGCCCAGACUCCUACGGGAGGCAGCAGUGGGGAAUAUUGCACAAUGGGCGCAAGCCUGAUGCAGCCAUCCCGCGUGUAUGAUGAAGGCCUUCGGGUUGUAAAGUUCUUUCGGCGGAGAAGCGGUAUCUGCAGAAUAAGCACCGGCUAACUACGUGCCAGCAGCCGCGGUAAUUC
rnacentral:rRNA from 1 species